UCCUGCUCUGCACCUGACUCCACCAGCUGAGACCUAUUCACCUAAUCACCUGCUUCAGCUCUUAAGGAGACUCAGCCUCAGUAUUCGACGCCAGUUCGUUGCCCCUUAUGGAUUCCAGCCUUCAAUUGUCUCCUGUGUGGAAGUCAGUCCGAGCCCUCCAGAAGCCCUGUGAAAACUUCAAGCUCAGUAAAGCCGCUCUACUACCUCCAGCCACGCCACAAGCCACUGUCCUCGCCAGCUUUUUUCCAAGCCAUCACCAUCUCUCCUGGAAAGAAAAUAAAAUCUCUUCCUUAACUCUCACCUACCAUUGUCCUCAUUCUGGGUUACAGCAUCUGGGUCUGUCCAUCCUACAAGUCAUGACAA